GAACAAACAAAACAACAAAGAAUCAAGAAUUAAUGUUGGGUAGU
rnacentral:guide_RNA from 1 species